GGCUCAGAACGAACGCUGGCGGCGUGGCUAAAACAUGCAAGUCGAACGCGAAAGGGAGCAAUCCCAAGUAGAGUGGCGAAAGGGCGAGUAAUGCGUUUCUAACGUACCCCAGACUCGAGGAUAGCUCACCGAAAGGUGAAUUAAUACUCGAUGAUGCUCACGGGUUGUAUGACCUGUGUGCCAAAGGCUUGCUGGUCUGGGAGCGGGGAACGUCCUAUCAGGUAGUUGGUGAGGUAAUGGCUCAGCAAGCCUAUGACGGGUAGCGGGUGUGAGAGCACGGCCCGCCGCAUCGGGACUGAGACAGAGCCCGGACUCCUACGUGUGGCAGCAGUAA
rnacentral:rRNA from 1 species